rnacentral:rRNA from 1 species
AGAGUUUGAUCCUGGCUCAGGAUGAACGCUGGCGGCGUGCUUAACACAUGCAAGUCGAGCGAAGCAAUCUAAGUGAAGUUUUCGGAUGGAUCUUGGAUUGACUGAGCGGCGGACGGGUGAGUAACGCGUGGAUAACCUGCCUCACACAGGGGGAUAACAGUUAGAAAUGACUGCUAAUACCGCAUAAGCGCACAGUACCGCAUGGUAUAGUGUGAAAAACUCCGGUGGUGUGAGAUGGAUCCGCGUCUGAUUAGGUAGUUGGUGGGGUAACGGCCCACCAAGCCGACGAUCAGUAGCCGACCUGAGAGGGUGACCGGCCACAUUGGGACUGAGACACGGCCCAAACUCCUACGGGAGGCAGCAGUGGGGAAUAUUGCACAAUGGGCGAAAGCCUGAUGCAGCGACGCCGCGUGAGUGAAGAAGUAUUUCGGUAUGUAAAGCUCUAUCAGCAGGGAAGAAAAUGACGGUACCUGACUAAGAAGCCCCGGCUAACUACGUGCCAGCAGCCGCGGUAAUACGUAGGGGGCAAGCGUUAUCCGGAUUUACUGGGUGUAAAGGGAGCGCAGACGGCGAUGCAAGUCUGGAGUGAAAGCCCGGGGCUCAACCCCGGGACUGCUUUGGAAACUGUAUGGCUAGAGUGCUGGAGAGGCAAGCGGAAUUCCUAGUGUAGCGGUGAAAUGCGUAGAUAUUAGGAAGAACACCAGUGGCGAAGGCGGCUUGCUGGACAGUAACUGACGUUCAGGCUCGAAAGCGUGGGGAGCAAACAGGAUUAGAUACCCUGGUAGUCCACGCCGU